rnacentral:rRNA from 1 species
GAUGAACGCUGGCGGCGUGCCUAAUACAUGCAAGUCGAGCGAACGGACGAGGAGCUUGCUCCUCUGACGUUAGCGGCGGACGGGUGAGUAACACGUGGAUAACCUACCUAUAAGACUGGGAUAACUUCGGGAAACCGGAGCUAAUACCGGAUAAUAUAUUGAACCGCAUGGUUCAAUAGUGAAAGACGGUUUUGCUGUCACUUAUAGAUGGAUCCGCGCCGCAUUAGCUAGUUGGUAAGGUAACGGCUUACCAAGGCAACGAUGCGUAGCCGACCUGAGAGGGUGAUCGGCCACACUGGAACUGAGACACGGUCCAGACUCCUACGGGAGGCAGCAGUAGGGAAUCUUCCGCAAAGGGCGAAAGCUUGACGGAGCAACGCCGCGUGAGUGGUGAAGGUCUUCGGAUCGUAAAACUCUGUUAUUAGGGAAGAACAAAUGUGUAAGUAACUAUGCACGUCUUGACGGUACCUAAUCAGAAAGCCACGGCUAACUACGUG